rnacentral:rRNA from 1 species
GACGAACGCUGGCGGCGUGCUUAACACAUGCAAGUCGAACGGAAAGGCCCUGCUUUUGUGGGGUGCUCGAGUGGCGAACGGGUGAGUAACACGUGAGUAACCUGCCCUUGACUUUGGGAUAACUUCAGGAAACUGGGGCUAAUACCGGAUAGGAGCUCCUGCUGCAUGGUGGGGGUUGGAAGGUUUCGGCGGUUGGGGAUGGACUCGCGGCUUAUCAGCUUGUUGGUGGGGUAGUGGCUUACCAAGGCUUUGACGGGUAGCCGGCCUGAGAGGGUGACCGGCCACAUUGGGACUGAGAUACGGCCCGGACUCCUACGGGAGGCAGCAGUGGGGAAUAUUGCACAAUGGGCGGAAGCCUGAUGCAGCAACGCCGCGUGCGGGAUGACGGCCUUCGGGUUGUAAACCGCUUUCGCCUGUGACGAAGCGUGAGUGACGGUAAUGGGUAAAGAAGCACCGGCUAACUACGUG